rnacentral:rRNA from 1 species
GAGUUUGAUCAUGGCUCAGAUUGAACGCUGGCGGCAUGCCUUACACAUGCAAGUCGAACGGCAGCACGGGAGCUUGCUCCUGGGUGGCGAGUGGCGAACGGGUGAGUAAUGCAUCGGAACGUAUCCUGGAGUGGGGGAUAACGUAGCGAAAGUUACGCUAAUACCGCAUAUUCUGUGAGCAGGAAAGCGGGGGACCUUCGGGCCUCGCGCUCUUGGAGCGGCCGAUGUCGGAUUAGCUAGUUGGUGAGGUAAAGGCUCACCAAGGCGACGAUCCGUAGCAGGUCUGAGAGGAUGAUCUGCCACACUGGAACUGAGACACGGUCCAGACUCCUACGGGAGGCAGCAGUGGGGAAUUUUGGACAAUGGGGGCAACCCUGAUCCAGCCAUGCCGCGUGAGU